rnacentral:tRNA from 1 species
UGGGGAGUCGUCCAAUGGUAGGACAGCGGACUCUGGAUCCGUUAAUCGGGGUUCGAAUCCCUGCUCCCCAGCCA